GAAAUGCGAUAAGUAAUGUGAAUUGCAGAAUUCAGUGAAUCAUCGAAUCUUUGAACGCACAUUGCGCCCGCCAGUAUUCUGGCGGGCAUGCCUGUUCGAGCGUCAUUACAACCCUCAUGCCCCCGGGCCUGGCGUUGGGGAUCGGCGGAAGCCCCCUGCGGGCACAACGCCGUCCCCCAAAUACAGUGGCGGUCCCGCCGCAGCUUCCAUUGCGUAGUAGCUAACACCUCGCAACUGGAGAGCGGCGCGGCCACGCCGUAAAACACCCAACUUCUGAAUGUUGACCUCGAAUCAGGUAGGAAUACCCGCUGAACUUAAGC
rnacentral:misc_RNA from 1 species